UGCCCUUGAAGGAGGAGGCAAGGAGAUUCCAGGGGAGGGAACAGUAUUUGCAGAGCCAGGGAAGCAUGAAGGAGUGGGCCAGGGUGUUUACCGAGGGAGGAGGGGCAAGGUGGGAAUCAGGUUCAACCCCCACCCCAGAGCAGUCCCCACCCUGUUUCGACUUCCCUUGUCUCCGAACCCAGACUUCCCUGGUCGCCUUACCCACUUUUGUUUCGGGAAACAGAUCCCUCCUUCAUGACUGCCUCGUGCCCUGUCUCUUCUCUCCUUCCUCUUGAGUCCACCCUCCUCCUCCAGGCUCCUGGAAUUUGCUGGACACCUGACAAAGCCUGGGAGGCAGGUUGGGAGAAUUUCAGGAGAUUAAAUGUGAUGGGAUGCGGGAAGGCACCAGGCAUGGCCUGAGGCUGCGAAGGAAUUCCCUCCCGAGGGUCCCAGCCUGGACACCAGAACCCUUUUCUCACUCUCACUGACAUAGCCUGGGCCCGCUUUCUUGGGGGUCUCCCCAUGGCUGUUCUUCUUCUCACAGCACCGAGGCCCCUCGCUGCCACCAGCUCCCCCAUAAGACCAUGGGCUUCCUGUAACUGGGGGCUGUGCCUCCCUCUUCCACCACCGUCGUGGUUGCCAACACCAUUCGGGGAAUAAACCUCAACUCACUCUCUGAGAUACAGAUUUCCCCGGGUGUCCUGUGUUUUUUGUUUUCUCCUCUCCCCCUGGGUGUCCCAUAGUUUUGUGCACUAAAUUUGGCAACACUAACUAACUGCCGUACCCCUGGGGCCCAGC